UACGGAGGGUGCAAGCGUUAUCCGGAUUCACUGGGUUUAAAGGGUGCGUAGGCGGGCUUGUAAGUCAGUGGUGAAAGCCCGGGGCUCAACUCCGGAACUGCCAUUGAUACUGUAGGUCUUGAGUACGGUUGAGGUGGGCGGAAUACAUCAUGUAGAGGUGAAAUUCUUAGAUAUGAUGUAGAACACCGAUUGCGAAGGCAGCUCACUAAAGCGUAACUGACGCUGAGGCACGAAAGCAUGGGGAUCAAACAGG
rnacentral:rRNA from 1 species